UACGUAGGGUGCGAGCGUUAAUCGGAAUUACUGGGCGUAAAGCGCACGUAGGCGGCUUAGCAAGUCGGAAGUGAAAUCCCACGGCUCAACCAUGGAAGUGCUUUCGAAACUGCUGAGCUUGAGUACGAAAGAGGAUCGCGGAAUUCCCGGUGUAGAGGUGAAAUUCGUAGAUAUCGGGAGGAACACCAGUGGCGAAGGCGGCGAUCUGGGUCGAUACUGACGCUGAGGUGCGAAAGCGUGGGGAGCAAACAGG
rnacentral:rRNA from 1 species